rnacentral:rRNA from 1 species
AUUGAACGCUGGCGGCAGGCUUAACACAUGCAAGUCGAGCGAGCGGAGGACGGGUGAGUAAUGUCUGGGAAACUGCCUGAUGGAGGGGGAUAACUACUGGAAACGGUAGCUAAUACCGCAUACCAUCAGAUGUGCCCAGAUGGGAUUAGCUAGUAGGUGGGGUAAAGGCUCACCUAGGCGACGAUCACUAGCUGGUCUGAGAGGAUGACCACCCACACUGGAACUGAGCCACGGUCCAGACUCCGACGGGAGGCAGCAGUGGGGAAUAUUGCACAAUGGGCGCAAGCCUGAUGCAGCCAGGCCGCGUGUGUGAAGAAGGCCUUCGGGUUGUAAAGUACUUUCAGCGAGGAGGCGUUACCCGCAGAAGAAGCACCGGCUAACUCCGUGCCAGCAGCCGCGGUAAUAC